GGAUUAGAUACCCUGGUAGUCCACGCCGUAAACGAUGUCAACUAGCCGUUGGAUUCAUUUAAGGAUUUAGUGGCGCAGCUAACGCAUUAAGUUGACCGCCUGGGGAGUACGCGCGCAAGCGUAAAACUCAAAGGAAUUGACGGGGGCCCGCACAAGCGGUGGAGCAUGUGGUUUAAUUCGAUGCAACGCGAAGAACCUUACCAGCCCUUGACAUCCUGCGAACUUUCUAGAGAUAGAUUGGUGCCUUCGGGAACGCAGUGACAGGUGCUGCAUGGCUGUCGUCAGCUCGUGCCG
rnacentral:rRNA from 1 species